UACGUAGGUGGCGAGCGUUAUCCGGAUUUAUUGGGCGUAAAGCGUGCGCAGGCGGCUUAUUAAGUCUAAGAUUAAAGCCCGGAGCUUAACUCCGGUUCGUCUUAGAAACUGGUAGGCUUGAGUAUGGUAGAGGCAAACGGAAUUCCUAGUGUAGCGGUGGAAUGCGUAGAUAUUAGGAGGAACACCAGUGGCGAAGGCGGUUUGCUGGGCCAUUACUGACGCUCAUGCACGAAAGCGUGGGGAGCAAAUAG
rnacentral:rRNA from 1 species